AUUGAACGCUGGCGGCAUGCCUUACACAUGCAAGUCGAACGGUAACAGGUCUUCGGUUGCUGACGAUUGGCGAACGGGUGAGUAAUACAUCGGAACGUGCCCGAUCGUGGGGGAUAACGAGGCGACAGCUUUGCUAAUACCGCAUCCGAUCUACGGAUGAAAGCGGGGGAUCUUCGGACCUCGCUCGGACGGAGCGGGCGAGGGCCGCGGAGGUUGUUGGUGGGAUUAAAGCUUUCCAAGACGAAGAUCUGUAGCUGGUCUGAGAGAAUGAUCGGCCACACUGGAGGGUGGACACGGCCAAGGCGCCUACGGGAGGCAGCAGUGGGGAAUGUUGGACAAUAGUCGAAAGCCUGACCCAGCCAUGGCGCGUGCAAGACGAAGACCUUGGGGUUGUAAACAGCGUUUGUACGUAACGAAAAGCUUCUGCCUAAGAAGGAGGGGUCAUGACGGUACCGGAAGAAGAAGCACCGGCUAACUACGUG
rnacentral:rRNA from 1 species